CGGACUUUCCUGUUCUUCCCAAGCUCCUUAUUCUGCUUGAGGAUAGGAGUGCAGUAAAGAGGGGACUGAGGAGAUUGGAAGUGGUAA
rnacentral:miRNA from 1 species